CAGGGAGAGUCCUGUUCCGAUUCAGCACGUACAUACCUUACGGUCUGAGGGAACCGCGCAAACUCUACGAUGUCGCAAAAAGCAAUAGGGAUCUCAUGCGGAGACUAAAGUUGGUGAAACGUCUGCCGGUUCACAACGGAUGCGUGAAUACGAUCACGUGGAAUGACACGGGUGAGAUCAUCCUGUCUGGAUCCGACGAUCACAGGCUUGUCAUCACGCAUGGCUACAGUCACAAGG